GCCACUUGAGAUGCAGCGCAGGGGCAUUAGAGCUUCCCUCACUGUGCUGUUCUCUUAAUCACAAUAUGCUCACCACCACCACCUUGCACCAUGGGGAGGUGUGUGUGUGUCUGUGUGUGUGUGUGUAGCUUGUUGCUCAGUUAGUGGUUUGAAUGUUCAGAUGCCUCUCCCCAGGGCUGCAGUGUGAGAUGUUUACCAGAUUUACACGCUGUGAAUAUAAAGCCUUACUUGGUUCACGCCACUGGAUUUAGUGCAUUAAUGGUUGGUUAUUGAUAAUGAGAAAGGUUUAUGAUUAAUGGGUGAUAUUUAAUUCAAAAUUAUGGAUGGAUGGAUGGAUUUUGAUUGACUAGCUAGGUGGUGUGAUGGAUGGAUGGAUGGAUGGAUGGAUGGAUAUUACAUUGACUAGCUAGGUGGUGUGAUGGAUGGAUGGAUGGAUGGAUGGAUGGAUGGAUGGAUGGAUAUUACAUUGACUAGCUAGGUGCUGUGAUGGAUGGAUGGAUGGAUGGAUGGAUGGAUGGAUAUUACAUUGACUAGCUAGGUGGUCGGAUGGAUGGAUGGAUGGAUGGAUAUUAGAUUGACUAACUAGUUGGUGUGAUGGAUGGAUAUUAGAUUGAUUAGCUAGUUGGUGUGAUGGAUGGAUGAAUGGAUGGAUGGAUAUUAGAUUGACUAGCUAGUUGGUGUGAUGGAUAUUAGAUUGAUUUGCUAGUUGGUGUGAUGUGUAGAUGGAUGGAUGGAUGGAUGGAUGGAUGAAUAUUAGAUUGACUAGCUAGUUGGUGUGAUGGAUGGAUAUUAGAUUGACUAGCUAGUUGGUGUGAUGGAUAUUAGAUUGAUUAGCUAGUUGGUGUGAUGGAUGGAUGAAUGGAUGGAUGGAUAUUAGAUUGACUAGCUAGUUGGUGUUAUGGAUAUAGAUUGAUUAGCUAGUUGGUGUGAUGUGUAGAUGGAUGGAUGGAUGAAUAUUAGAUUGACUAGCUAGUUGGUGUGAUGGAUGGAUAUUAGAUUGACUAGCUAGUUGGUGUGAUGGAUGGAUGAAUGUAUGGAUGGAUGGAUGGCUAGGUGGAUGGAUAGAUAAAGGAAUAGAGAAGUUGAGAAACGUGCACUCAGACACACAGCGGCAGUGCUGAUGGGAUUCGUUUCAUUGAACACAGCAUAUGCAGCCAGCGGGCUCGUAGGGAAUAUCAGGACGUCUGCCAUGUGGGCAACAGCUCCUUUGUGACUUUUAGAAGUUGAUUUCUGUCUGAUGCAGGCUCACACACACACACACACACACACACAGACACACACACACACACACACACACACACACAGAAAUAUUUGCUAAUCCUCAGUAAGGGAUUAGUGGUUGAGGUGUAAUUUGAGCCCAUGCCAUCAGGUCACACAACUAACACACUUUCUACCAGGAGCAAUUCUUUUUCUGUGAUGUGUGAUGCGAUAGUAGCACGUAACAGACACGGACAUCCUCGGCAUUGCUAUGGACCAAAGAGUAACAGAGAUCCUUUAUUGUAUUUAUUUGUUUUAGACAUUACACUUACUCUUCCUGAACUCCUGAACUGUCCUGUAAAAGUUGCAAUUACACUCAGAUUUAGAUCAGGUUUUUUUUUUAUUUAGCUAGUUUGUAAAUGAAUGAAUGAAUAAAUGACCCCCAGGUCCAAGCACCAUUUUUAAAACCUGGCUAUAU
ensembl:lncRNA